rnacentral:lncRNA from 1 species
AAACGGCGCCGUUUUGAGGUCUCCAUAAUCCCCUUAAAACUACGUCGUUUUAUACUUCUAUAUAAACUAAUUUUUUUUUAAAAAAAUGUCAUUCUUCCCUUUUGUUUUUCAAAAAAUGCUUCUUUUCUCUUUGUGCAGGUUCUCUUGGUCCGGUCUAGGCUCCGGCGAACAGCCACCGUCCUCCGCCGCGGUUGCCGGAGUUUCGAAAAAGGUGUAUUUUUUAUUUUCCUCUUUAUUUUAAUAAUAUAUAUAUGCACAACCAUGUAAUCAGGAAAAGAAAAGUAAAAAAGAAAAAAAGAAAGAAGAACCGAUUCGAAACUUAGAAAAUUUAAACACCUUUCGAUCUCUGGUUUUGAUUUCUUCCUUGGGCUUCGUUUUUUCUGCUUUUGAUGUUGAUGAAAUCUCUGUUACUUGUUUUGUGUUCUUUAAGAUCUAAUAAUGUUUUUCAUUACAAGAAGAACCGAAAAAAAAAUGUCAAAUGGUCCUUGAUUUGGCUUUUUUAAAUAGCCAUUUACAUGCCCCUUUUUUUAAUAUCUGUCUAUUCUCCUCUUUUAAUGUUGCAGGCGUAAGUGGGGCGGUGGCACAGUGGUGGUGCUUGGAGGUGUCGGUGGAGGAUGGGACAGGGAGGCAACAGCUAGGGUUUUUGGUUCAUUUUGUUUUAGGGUUUGAAUUGGGCUGCUAUUGGGUUUUGGAUUUAGUGGGUUUUGGGCUUAUCUGUUUAGUGGGUUUUGGGCUAGGUUUUGGUUAGUUUGGGUCUGGGGUUAUUUGGGCCCAAAAUUGGGCUGUACAGAAAGAUUAAUUUUAUUUAAAAUUUUAUUUAUUUGAUUAUUAAAUGUUUUUUGUUGAUACAAUUUUGAUUUUUUUAAUGACAGUUACAAUCAUAAUUCUAAAUAAUACAUCUAUAUUGAUG